rnacentral:rRNA from 1 species
GAGUUUGAUCCUGGCUCAGGAUGAACGCUGGCGGCGUGCUUAACACAUGCAAGUCGAACGAAGUAGCAAUACUUAGUGGCGAACGGGUGAGUAACGCGUGAGCAAUCUGCCCAUGCCAGGGGGAUAACAGUUAGAAAUGACUGCUGAUACCGCAUAUGACCACGAGGAGGCAUCUCCUUGAGGUGAAAGAUUUAUCGGACAUGGAUGAGCUCGCGUCCCAUUAGGCAGUUGGCGGGGUAACGGCCCACCAAACCGACGAUGGGUAGCCGACCUUAGAGGGUGAUCGGCCACAUUGGAACUGAGACACGGUCCAAACUCCUACGGGAGGCAGCAGUGGGGAAUAUUGGGCAAUGGGGGCAACUCUGACCCAGCAACGCCGCGUGAACGAUGAAGGUCUUCGGAUUGUAAAGUUCUUUAAGUGGGGACGAAGAAAGUGACUGUACCCACAGAAUAAGCCUCGGCUAACUACGUGCCAGCAGCCGCGGUAAUACGUAGGAGGCAAGCGUUAUCCGGAAUGACUGGGCGUAAAGGGUGCGUAGGUGGUUUGGCAAGUUGGUAGCGUAAUCCCGGGGCUCAACCUCGGUGCUACUACCAAAACUGCUGGGCUUGAGUGCAGGAGGGGUGAAUGGAAUUCCCAGUGUAGCGGUGGAAUGCG